rnacentral:lncRNA from 1 species
CGAAGAACCUCUUCUUGCAGAUAAUGGAUGUGUCCAACUAUUCCGAGCGCAAAUAGACUGAUGGCGUUACUCUCGGCCGCGUCGUCUUAAGGCUCAAUUACCAGUUGUGGUUCAGCGGCUCCGCGCGGAGCUCGAAUUUUAUUUUCGUGCGCCGCGAUCCUAGUUUCGCGCCAUGCGGCCCGCUCCAGUACUCCUCCGAUGACGGCCCUGCGUCCCAGUGCCUUCCAACUUCCAAAGUUUAAGUGACAAUGCCGCCGGCCAGUGUUAGUGCGUGACCAGUGUGUGAGUGCCACAGGCUAGGCGAAGCCUAGGAAAAAUGUACAGUGCUCUCGGAUGAAGAUGUCUCACAGAAUCGCGCUCCUAGUUUUCCUCAUACAGGUUUUCGCAGGCGGCACGGAUCUCUCGCAUGUGCUCGAUGCUUCGGAUCCCGCCCUCGGGCCGGGGAAAUUAGAGGGAGCAAUGACUCAGAUCAGGGUGGGAAUUUCCCCGACAGAGGGCGCAAGUUCAUGUUCAACGACACGGAACUCUGGACCAAGUUCAGUUUGGUCGUGCGCCCGGACCAAAGUCCGGGGGCGUCGCUGACGACGGAGAAAAACGGGUUGAUCUACACGACGAACCGGUCCCUCGGGGUCCCGACGCCUACCCCUUUGGCCAGUAAAUGGACCAAGGUCCACGUCACAUUGCCCCCGCGCAAGUCCACGCCGCCCUCCCUCGCGACGACCGUGACGUCCAUGACGUGGACGACGAGGCCCACCACGACGACGACGAUGAUGACGUUCGCGACGCAAAAGCCGGCGACGACCCUCUCGACUUUGGCGGCCUCGGUGACGAAUCGGUCGGUGUUGUUGCCGGAAACGCGGCGGAAGCCGGAGAAAAAGGAUCGGCAGGACGACAUUUUUUACGACGAUGAGGAUGAGGACGAAUAUGAGGACGAAGACGAGGAGGAGGAGGACGAGGAAGAGGAAGAACUCGAGGAAGCCGAGUUCGUAGAAGUCGAAAAAGUCGACUAUGAAAAUUAUUCAGAGGAGCCUCCUACAAUACUUAAGAAAAAGAAGAAGCGGAAACGGAAACGAGGGAAAAAGAAUUCGCUGAAGCUGAAAGACUUCAAGAAAUUAAAGAAAUUCAUGUUACCGUUACUUCUGGCAUAUAAGCUCAAAUUCUUCACACUUGUCCCACUGCUACUUGGAGGACUGGUGCUCAUCGUCGGGACCACAGGUUUCGCCGGAUUCUUCUUCGCCCUGUUUGCCGUUGGCCUUGGUCUUAAACACCACUAAUAGCACUGAACGUUGAAAAAAGAUGACCGCUGAUUGCAAGUGGAAGUCAACGUCAGGCAAACACAUUUGACUGCCAUAUUGAAAACUAGGACUUGCUGAGGCUCAGAGGCUUUCCAUCUCCAUCAAAAUCUCACUCACAUCCGUUUCGGCCGUAACGUCACAAGGAUCAAAGGAGGAAAAAUUCGCAAUAGAUUUGCAGAAUCAAAAUGUUUAACUUUAGGAAGUCAAAUAAUAUCGAAAGAAGAACGGUUAAAUUGAAUUAUGCACCUAUUCCUUAAGAAACGAUUCUUCAAAAUUAUAUUUAUGAAGCUAAUCUGUGCAAGAGCAUUUCAAAGUUGCCAAGAUUAAGUGACCCAUCAGUCAUUCAGACUCUCGUCAGGAACCACUCAUUAGGGAACGUUGAAAACAGUUGAGGAAAGCUAUGCAAAAAUGUUGAUUACCGACAGAUAAAGAUGUCACUCGUAAAAAAUUAGUCCUCACAUAUAAUUGUUAUUUAAAUUUGAAUAUACCCUGCAAGUUGUUUUCACACUCUUGAAAUAUGGUGUAAAAACUGUACCUUGAAAGUUAGGAAUGCCUUCAGUGUCAUAGUUAGAAUUUCAUGAACUUAUCAAUCCACCAUUAUGGCCAAGGUAUUCUUAUGUAUUUUUCAACCUUCAUCAAGGUCAACGGGUCAGUUGUGUUGGUCACAAAAUCGUGUUUUGAAGCUUGAUUCUUGCAGAUUAGCUAAAAAUAAUAAGAUCAGUCCAAACAGUAACUUUUUACGUUUAAUAUUAACCGAGAUAUCGCCCUUUGAAAAAACGGGUUUUCGACGUCAUCUACCGCAGGAGUGACACCCUUUUCUUCCACCUUGCUUUCAUUUGUUGGUGUGACGCUCAUUUGCACUGGUUAUUCAACGUAAAUCUUGGAUGAAAGUAAGAUGAAAGAAACCAAGGGUGUUACUCCCGCGGUUGAUAACCGGACUUUUUAAAGGGCGAUAUCUCGGUUAAAAUAUAACUAGGAAAGUUUCUAUGUGGACAGAUAUCAUAACUUUUAACUAAUCUACAAGAAUCAUGCAUCAAAACACGAUUCUGUGACCAGCGCACCUGACCGUUUGUCCUACGCAUUGGUUUUUUACGACUAAAACUGUAUGAAUCAACAGAAAAUAUUAAGCAGUGACGGCAAAAUGAUGUCACGUAAAUGUAUCAUAUAUUUCCUUGUAUACCUAAUCGUAAGAACAUAGAGAAAAUCUAAAUGACGUUUCCAGGAUUAUGAUGCAUUCGAAUCAGUACCACAGAUUCAAAAUGUGCGUAACUCAAAUUUUUAGAAAAAUUGAGUUUUUGACGUUUUCAAAAUCUCCAUCAACGGUCCCUUGCGUGUAAAGAAAUUGAUAGCCCCAGCUUCCGCUAGUUAUGAGAUACGGAGUUUCAAAUUUACAAUUUACAUUGGAAUCAAUGGGAUCGACGCGUGGUUUUCCCCUGAUAUCUCGAAACGACCAAAAUUAUGUUAGAUGCCUUUUGGCUCAUGGGUACUAAAAUUAAUUUAAACUUUAGGGUGUAUCUCUUGAAGCAAAGCAAUUCACAGGACGUAGAGAUUUAGACUCGUGAGUAAAUGUAUUAUCCCUAUUUGUGGGGACUGAUUUGAAUGAAAGCUUUAUCGCAGCUGAAGCUUCUAAUUUAUUAUACGAAUAUAUGUAAUUCAUUGAGAGUAAAUAUCUGUCUGAUGUCCUUUGGGUUUCAGUACUUUACGAAUAUAAGAUCACUCUGACUUUUGAUUCCAUUAGAAUGUGCCAAAAACUUGCUUGAGCUUUUUUGCGAAUUUUUCCACCUGAGGUUGGUCAUAUUGCGUUUUCAUUUCGGAAUUUGAAUAGAGAGAACUCAAAAGGCCAGUUUCACUUCUAAAAAAAACAUUAAUCCGAUGCCUUAAAGAAUAAAGAUUAGCAAAAUUCAAUGACCCUUGCUGAUUUGACGCUCUUCCUCCAUGAGUGACGGAAUGGGAUGUAUCACCGUUUGAAAAACAGGUUGGCGCGAGCGUCAUCCACAGAAGUAAUGCGCCUGGUCAUUAUCUCUUUCACGGUGGUGAUUAGUACGUACAAAAUGUGCACAAUAAAUACAUAAUUAAUCGAUAUAGAAACCAAAGAGGAAAAAAUCAUGGUGCGCUAUCACUAAGAGGUACGACAAUCGAAAAACAGGAAAAAGCGGAAA